AUUUAUAUAGUUUAAUCAAAACAUUACAUUUUCAUUGUAAAAUCAAAUAAAAUUUUAUAAAUA
rnacentral:tRNA from 1 species